GACGAACGCUGGCGGCGUGCUUAACACAUGCAAGUCGAACGGUAAGGCCCCUUCGGGGGUACACGAGUGGCGAACGGGUGAGUAACACGUGAGCAACCUGCCCUUGACUUUGGGAUACCAGCUGGAAACAGCUGCUAAUACCGGAUAUGACCUCUUCUCUCAUGGGUUGAGGUGGAAAGCUCCGGCGGUCAGGGAUGGGCUCGCGGCCUAUCAGCUUGUUGGUGAGGUAAUGGCUCACCAAGGCUUCGACGGGUAGCCGGCCUGAGAGGGCGACCGGCCACACUGGGACUGAGAUACGGCCCAGACUCCUACGGGAGGCAGCAGUGGGGAAUACUGCACAAUGGGCGCAAGCCUGAUGCAGCAACGCCGCGUGCGGGAUGACGGCCUUCGGGUUGUAAACCGCUUUCAGUAGGGACGAAGCUAACGUGACGGUACCUACAGAAGAAGGACCGGCUAACUACGUG
rnacentral:rRNA from 1 species